UUGCGUGGCGGGAGGUAAAGUUAACAUCACACUUCGUCGAAGCUUAUCGCCGCCAAAAUUUCCGGCCAUCCUUCACAUACUUUGGCGGCUUAAACCUCCGGCUUCGAACGUGUCCUCUUCUUGAAACGUAUCACUUUUCUGGCGCUUUAUUUGAAUGCGAAUGGAUCGAGCUCGCCAGCUUUGCUCAACAUCGAAACCCCGAGCGAGGCCUUUAAGAAGAUUAAGAUAUAAUCUUCCACAUUCUACGCUGCAUCGCAGGAGGAAUCUUCAGCUGCAGCCUCACUCUAAUGGCAGUCACGCCACUUGACCUUAUUAAGUGAUACGAAGGUUCCAUCAUAACCCACAAACAGAUAAAAUAGGAUCCAACAGUGUACCUCAAGCUGCAACACGCAAUUGAGAAGAUUCUUACCUUUUGAUCAAGUUUCACGACUCCUUGGAGUUUUUAUCUACAAUACAUAUGCAGAAGACACGGCUGAUGAAAUUUGGAUUUUUUUUAGACAAAUGUGGAGUUACCAUACUUGAUCAUCAUUCCCACACUAGAAGCUCUUUAAGUUUGGCUUCUGUAAAGAUAUAGCUCUCUAAUUGUGAUAGGGAAUUGUAAUAAAAUGUGUUUGCAGUUAAAUAAUCGUGAUAGUUAUGUUAAAUGAUAUUAGUGAUUAAUAGAUUAUUAUUAAGUUUUUGGGUCUUAUGGAGAAUUAUAAUGACACAAAUGAAAGGAAGAUUUACAAAUG